UGUCCAGCUUUAGCCACGCUUUGUAGGUAGCUUUAACGUUAGCAGAAUUAGCUUUCAGUACUACCUCUUUGCAUUGUACUCGUUAGUGCACGGACAGUUAUUAGCGAAUUAGUAAAAACUGAAGAAAACCUUAAAAUAUGGUGAUUCUCAAGCAAGUUUUGAAUGAAGCGUAUUUUUCCCCCCUUAGAUGCUUAUUCACGAUGACCACUGGAGUUAAUGUCAUCCUCUGGAAGUGAUUUGCAUGGAGAGAGUUGAUGCCAGAAGACAAGUGCAUUUCAUCCCAGGAGCUUUCUCAUUAUCCACGGAUUAAUGGAGCUGCAUGCCUUCGUCUACCCGGCUUCCGUUAACUGGUCCCGCCUGCUGUCUCUGGAGCUGAAGCUGGAUUGGAACAGACCAAAGUACAGUUCAAUCAUGAUACCAGCUGCCUCUCAAAAGGUUCCUUCAUCUGGCGUCACUUCUUCUGAGGGGAAGCUGAGCUGACCCGGCAGAACUUUGGAGAUGUGUUCCAGUGGUUGGUGGAUGUGUGGGGAGAGAGAGGGACCUUUGAAUUGUUCAGAAAGGAAAACGGGGAACCCAUUGCUAAUUUUAGUUUAGGGUGCUACUUCGGUGCAUUCUUGGGUUUUAAGAGGUGAACAGGAAGAGUUUUUUUUUCCCGCAUUGAUUAUCUUUUAAUUUGUUCCUGGUUGGAAUGCCCAUCAAUGUCACCGUGAAGUUCACUUUUAGUUCUGUUGAUUUAUUUUAUUUUACUAACACCCAUUUGCUUUUAACCCCCUCACAUGUUGUGUUGUUGUAAACUUACUCUUUCAAAUAAAUACUCAUCUAAUCCUCUUGAAACCAGCAUUUGGACUGUUUUCGUGUUGCUCCUCACCAACUUCAGACAGCCGGGAUAUAACAACGUUUUGUGGACCAAAGGCCAUACUAUGACAUUUUAAGAGCGACCUGCUAUACUAUGACGUUUUUUGAGCGACAUGCUAUAAGACGAUGCUUGUUGAGCGACAUGCUAUACUAUGAUGUUUUGUGGGCGACAUGGUAUACUAUGACGUUUUUAGAGUGACA